UGGCUACGAUUUGUCUUGUGACUAUGUUACAAGCGACGAGAAAGUUUCCAUCUGAGGAAUUACUCUCUCAUUCUUUAUUAUUGACAAUUGCAGUAGUUUUGAAUGCCUUCCUUUCACAUACAGAGAGAAAGUGUUUCUGGCCUAAAGUGUGGACUGGCCUAAAGGAUAACAGCCCACCUGUUGCUAGGCCUACAACGGACGCUAUAUAGUAAAUGGCUCGCAUUUGCGACUUGCUAUCAGAUGCUAAUAGCCAACAUUUUGCAAUCGCGUGCAUCUUGUCAUAAAAGUAUGAUUAUCAUGUCUUAAUCGUACGAUUUUCAGUUUGUUAGAACAAUAAAUGUCAUAUAUUACACAUAUAUUACAUAAAAUAAAAUUCACUGUCCGAAAAUGUAACCAAAAUGUAGCGCGCGCGCGUCUCUCUAUUUAAAGAAAUUACAUUAGAAAUUAUAUUAUAAUGAAUAUUAAUAUAAGGCUAAUAAAUGUGUAAUUAAAUAAUAUAAUAAUAAUCUAAAAUAUACCGAUCGCGUUAUAUUUGAUUGAUCGCAUGAUACUCGAAAUUGUUUUGUAGAUGAUUCAGCGAUACUUCGUUUCUCUUAUAUUUAUUCAACCGUAUGUAACGUAUUUGUUUUCUAUUGUACAGGCGCAUCGCGGACCGACGGUCGUGCAGGUAAGUGCAUUGCACAGCGCAAAGCUUUCGCAAGCGGUCGGUAAGUCAAAGCUUUUUCCUCCUUGAAAGCUUUCCCGGAUGCUGUGAUGUCGUUCUACGAAAGAAGUUCCUCGAUGUUACCGCGUCAGUCGGUAUAAGCGUGAACACGAGCGAGAAUCCGUCCGAGUCGUGAACGAGUUACCGACGCGCGUGUCACCCGGUAUAUACGUCGGUACUACGUUAUUGUCGUACUACUCGCGGAUGCAUAUUCCAGGACCGCGACUACUCACGGCCUCUCUGUUCAUCUAUGUCUGUCUGUCUGUAUAUUCGAUCGUUUCGAUGUUAUUCUUACAAUUAAAAAUAUUUUAUAUCUC